rnacentral:rRNA from 1 species
UGGGGAAUAUUGGGCAAUGGGGGAAACCCUGACCUAGCAACGCCGCGUGAAGGAAGAAGGUUUUCGGAUUGUAAACUUCUGUCCUAAGGGAAGAAAGAAAUGACGGUACCUUAGGAGGAAGCCCCGGCUAACUACGUGCCAGCAGCCGCGGUAAUACGUAGGGGGCAAGCGUUGUCCGGAAUUAUUGGGCGUAAAGGGUGCGUAGGCGGCCGAUCAAGUCAGGUGUGAAAGACCCGUGCUUAACAUGGGGGUUGCACUUGAAACUGGUUGGCUUGAGUAUGGGAGAGGCAAGCGGAAUUCCCGGUGUAGCGGUGAAAUGCGUAGAGAUCGGGAGGAACACCAGUGGCGAAGGCGGCUUGCUGGACCAAAACUGACGCUGAGGCACGAAAGCGUGGGUAGCAAACAGGAUUAGAUACC